ensembl:processed_transcript
AGCUGGGAAGGUUUAGCUCUCCAUGGCCUUUGGCAAAAGUUGUGGGACAGAUUGUUAGAACCGUUUACUAUGUCCAUGCCUGAGACAAAGGUGAAAGGAUGCAGGAAUCUCUAGUACAUUGCACAGAGAUGGAGACCUGAGACAGAGAUUUCUGAACUUCCACCGGGAAAGAUCAAAUGUGCGAGCCUUCAGAGCUCUGCAGCAGACAGCCCGAGCUGAAGAGAGAGGAGAGAGAGAGAGAGAGAUGCUGGCCUGACAGCUCUGCAGGGUCUCUCUUCACUGACCCAGAGGGACUUAACAGUACAGCAGGAGCCUGCUGGCUCGCACUGUGUAAAGUUAACUUUAAAAGACCUCCCUUGAAUCAGUCCUCUUCCUAUUUCAAGUGUACAGACAUUUUUUUUUUUCAAUUUUCUACCAGUGGUCAGCAGUUUAGCUAUCCAGAGUCUUGUUUUGCUCCGAGCCCGUGGCUUUUGUCCUACACCUGCAUUCUAUUCAGUAGACAUCACUUCGGAGUAAAUUGUACAGAGCCAAAUAGGAAUGGCAGGCUAUUUAGGGGGGUAGCAAGGGAAUAGAAUUCAUGGGACACUGUAAGUAUAAACUGUGUUAAAGAUGAAUGUGAGUUUAAGCCACCAAAUUUGCCAACUAAAACAAAAUCCUUGAUCCCUGUGAGUUCACCAUGCCUGCCCAAUGAAUGAACACAUUCCAGUCUUUUGCCAUCAGACUAGAGACACCACUUGCGGGAGCAAUGCAGACUGAUGGAGAAAACUUGGCUAGAGUGUAGAGGACCUGACACCCAUCAAACCAGACUUCCUCCCAAGGUCAGGGCAUGUGACCUCAGACCCAGCCUGGUAGCCGGAAGCACAUCCUCCAAACCCAGCUCUUGCUUUUCCAGCAGCAGUGAAGUUGCAAAAGGGAGCUUCCAAAAGUGGAAACAUUUUCAAAUAAGUCUUUUAACUUUUCGCCUGUGGAUACAGCUGCGUUGACACAAAGCCACGUUUGAGGCACGAUGUCUCGGAAGCCUGGCACCACGGAGUGUUUUUCUACUGGGACCCAUAAUUGUUGGCUUUUAAGAGUGGUCCUGUGUUCGGUUUUAUCAAUGUGGUACUUGAACUGGACUUUCAGCUGACCUCCAAAAGGAAAUAGUUUUAAAAGGAGGAAUUUUAAGUCUGCCAAAAGCCAGAUAAUGGCACAGCACAGGGAAAAAAAAAAAAAAAAAGCCAGCAAUUCUGUGGUUUUUAUAUUAAAAUACGAGACUCUUAAUGCCUCAAAACAUCAGCCAGAAAAUGCAAAGUUUAAUACAUGAGACUGGAAGAAGCCGUUUUAAUGAGCUUUAGUUUUCGCUUUAGUUUUCGCGUUGUUCUUUGUGAUUUCCCCAGAAGGGGCAAGCAUCUUCCUCCUGGUCCUCCUCCGCCAUCUAUUUUUGCUUUCAUACAAAUGGCUGUUUUCAUGAAAGCAAUUUCAAAAUACACUGAAGCAGCCAUGCCCAACUCCAGGCCUCAUACUUUGAGGAGUUUUCAGCUGCAGGCUCUGCAAAAUCUCUUGAGGAGCAAAACCACCAGUAUCCGGCUCGUCCAGCAUCGUGAGUUACUCUUCCCAUGAAGAUGCCUCACUUCCUCUUGCUUUAGCUGAGCCACAUUGCUGCGCUUUUGGUUUGCUAGGUUUUCACCUUUUCCUGAGGAGCCGUGUGAGAAGCCAGCACCUAUAGACUAUGUACAGUGGUCAAAUUGGGCUACUUAGCAUUUCCACUUCCUCAGUAGGUACUUUGAAAUAUCCCGGUCUGAAAGUGGAAUCGGUGGUAGAGCAUGUGCUUAGCAUGCACAGAACUCUGGCUGCAAAAGCUAGUACAAGAAAGAAAGGAAGAAGGAGGGGAGGGGUAGUUUCCCAUAGCCCUAGGGAACAUUAAAAUAAACUCUUCCUUUGUGACUAUAU